rnacentral:siRNA from 1 species
UGGCGUCGAGCUGUGAUCCGUC